AGUGAACGCUGGCGGUAGGCCUAACACAUGCAAGUCGAACGGCAGCACAGUAAUAGCUUGCUCUUACGGGUGGCGAGUGGCGGACGGGUGAGGAAUACAUCGGAAUCUACUUUUUCGUGGGGGUUAACGUAGGGAAACUUACGCUAAUACCGCAUACGACCUACGGGUGAAAGCAGGGGAUCUUUGGACCUUGGGCGAUUGAAUGAGCCGAUGUCGGAUUAGCUAGUUGGGGGGGUAAAGGCCCACCAAGGCGACGAUCCGUAGCUGGUCUGAGAGGAUGAGCAGCCACAAUGGGACGGAGACACGGUCCAGAAUCCUAAGGGAGGCCGCAGUGGGGAAUAUUGGACAAGGGGCGCAAGCCUGAUCCAGCCAUACCGCGUGGGUGAAGAAGGCCUUCGGGUUGUAAAGCCCUUUUGUUGGGAAAGAAAAGCAGCAGGUUAAUACCGCGCUGUUCUGACGGUACCCAAAGAAUAAGCACCGGCUAACUUCGUG
rnacentral:rRNA from 1 species